AAAUCAUCAUGCCCCUUAUGACCUGGGCUACACACGUGCUACAAUGGGCGGUACAAAGGGUCGCGAACCCGCAAGGGGGAGCCAAUCCCAAAAAGCCGCUCUCAGUUCGGAUUGCAGGCUGCAACUCGCCUGCAUGAAGCCGGAAUCGCUAGUAAUCGCGGAUCAGCAUGCCGCGGUGAAUACGUUCCCGGGCCUU
rnacentral:rRNA from 1 species